AUCUAUCUUAUUUAGACACACUAUACGAUACUAAAAUCAGGGAUUUAGUAGACGAUGCUUCUACUUAUCAAAUGCUGAAUAACAAUCCUAUGCAGCGAAUGAAUCGGGAACCUUAGUUUUAAUAAACAAAGAUAUCUAUACCAUACCUACAAAUGUCCAUAUCUAAUACAGCCUAGAAUAGUGGAACCGCCUAAACUAUAUAGCUCGCCAAAGGACCGCAAGGUUCUAUAGGGAUCUGGGCAGCUGUCCCGCUACACCCUUGUUAACGUCUAUGAUGUGAAGGACAUGAAUCGCACGUAAGUAUUGCAGGAAAUCUUCAAAAGAUGUCCUGUCUGGCGGAUAGACAAGUUUAUGUUUUACAUCCGCGGCCAUCAUCUAGAGCAAUUUGACUGAAUGUCGGACUCUCCAUCGUAACGCACUGAAAUUUGCAAUGGCUCCUGUCAACCAGGAGAGACAAACUCUCUUCGUGCCUUCACUCUCAGGCUCACCUCAAUAGAUUCAGGCGCUUUGCCUUGCGUUUCGUAUAUGGUUAAGGGUUUACUUGAACAAGGACUUAGGAACCAGAUCUCAUCUACCUCCAAAAAAUAUUAUAAAUAUUAAAAUAUGACGUCACAAGUUGAACAAUAGAUAAGAGUAGUGAAGUUGAACAAUGGUGCCUUGUCUCAGCAUUCGUUCCGAUGACCAGCGACGUGGCGUUUCCUUCGGGGUCGGCGAUCGACCACCAGCCGCCCAACAAUGACCUCAUUGCCACCGCACAAUACCACUCUUAGUUAAGUUAUCGUGAAAAAACAAAACAAAGAACAGAAAUCGGUCAACAAUCGGAU